GUGUUCACUUUGGCAGCACUUAAACUAAAAUUGGAAUGAUACAGAGAAUAUUAGCAUGGCCCCUGUGCAAGAAUGUCACCCAGACUCGUGACCAUUCUAUAUUU
ensembl:snRNA U6 U6 spliceosomal RNA